AAGACUGAAGCAUUAAUGUCUCUCCUUGAUUUGGUGUGAUCAUUCCACUCAUCAGGGGCAAGCACAGUCAUGCACUCUAUCAAGCCAACAUUAUCCAUCAUAAUCUGUUUGUAAAAUGUUCUCCAUGUUUUUUUCUGGUCUGAUGUUUAAUAGUGUUUAUGAUCCAUCACAAUCUGUUUGUAAAAUAUUCUCCAAGUUCUUUCCUGAUUUUGAUGUUUAAUAGUGUUCAUGAUCCCAAUUUUUCAAAUAUU